CCGAAUGAGUGCGUGCUGGCGGCGGCGCAUCUGCCUUUCUGUCAUCGCCCCUCCUUGAGCGAGAGAGAGCGAGAGAGAGAGAGAGGGACAAUGGCGUCGACGUCGUCGGAUGAGAGCGUGGAGGAGGAGAUGGCGGCGCGGGAGAGAGCAGGAGAGGCCGCUCCUCAUCAGCCAUGGAGCGGUGUCAGUGCGGAGAGGGAAAGAAAGAUGAGGCUGUGGGGGAUCCUCAUCUUCGGCGUCAUUGGAGCGACGGCCACCACCUAUGCGGUCACACAACUUCGACGAACGAUUGGUUGGUUCUACACUCAGCUGAGCAGGCCAUCUUCGAAUACAUCAUGGAGUUCUUCUAGCAAUUCAGGUCGAACAAGUUUUACAGAUGAAGUUUGGAAGAGAUACAAUCGCCGAAUGCAGGAAAAAUAUCAAGAGGAAAUUGAAAGAGUGGAAAGAAUAAGGCGAAUGCAGAGUAUCUUUAAUCAAGAAAGAAUUAAGUACCAAAAGAGCUAUGAGAAAUGGAGAGAAAAUGGUCCUGGUGCGUACCAACAUUUUCAGCAGGAUGAUUGGUAUUGGAAGACAGAGACAUCAUAUAAGGACCAAAGAACUAAUUCAGGAGCAGCUCGUACAGGAAGUGGAAUUCAGCCCAUGUCACAUCACUAUGCUGUUCUGGGCCUUGACAGAAAGCUGAUCUUGGCAUGGGGUGACCGAUGCAAGAUUCAUAAUAAAGAUCAGGUCGCCCAGACAUCACAACCAUUCAUUCAGCAGUAGAUUGCUACACUGGGUCCACUGACAGCCAAGUGAAUGGCCGAGAUUGCUGGGCAACUCAUGCAGGGGGCAACCUGAUCUCUAUUCCAAGAUUCACAUUACCUCAAGUUCCUUGAUUCACUGGUCCUCAAUGGAAAAACAUUAAUAAAGGGAUCUUCUAAAGGGAAUCUUGUAGCAAGUGAAUUAUCCAAGUGAUCUCUUACCUUUUCUUUUUUGUAUCUCCUCUGCAUUAGCUGCAACACUAAUCCUUAACUUUGAAGGACAUUGUUUGUUAGUGGAUUCUGGCUCAGGUCAUCUUUUGGCCUUUCUCUUCCUGAAAAUUGUUAGUUUAUCACUAAUGGACCAACAUGCUAAAGCGAACAAAAUAUUAUUGCAGCUUGCUAGGAGUCAUCUGACAUCGAAAGUGGAAGAAUCGGGAGUUCCUGUUCCAAGUCGUCCUAGAAUGGGUGUUAAACUAAACCAGCAUGUUGUGUCAGAACUCUUCAUAGCUAGGAAAGCUACACUUGUUGGGGAAAAUAGUCGAAAUGGGAUAAAAUUUGUCAAGGAUAGCUGAAUUGUCUUUGUUUGUCAAGGAAAACUACUCUAUAUUGUUUCUUUCUCUAAUGAACCCAGAGCAUUUUUCUUGUUCUGAUAGAUUUACUUCCUGUCUAGAUUACCAUAUUGAGGGCAAUCAUGAGACCUUCCAAAGGGCUUUACCAAAGGAGAUAUUAGCAUUUUAGUCAUAAACAUGUAAAAUUCUGUCAUAAACAUGGUCUUAGGACUAGCAUUUUAGUUUUACUUUGCAGGAUAAUUAAUUGUUUGUCGAUAUUGUUGCUUACAAUUUUCACUGUCAAUAUAUUUACCGUUCUCUCUCUCUUUGAAUUUCCACCUCUUUUUUUGUACAUGUUAGUUUACAUGUAUUUAUAACAAGUUCUCUCGACACUCUAUAUGUUAGUUUGUAUUUGUUUAAAAUGUUAUGCUAUAAAAUUAUUUGCUUUGUAUUACAGAAAAUGGAAAAAGUAAUUAGUGCAGGAGGAUGAUAAAUUUGAUAUACAGCAUGCUGUUUUGGACUGGUGUAGUAGAUGCUAAUAAUGAUUUUCUUUCUCCUUAGGUUUAGAGCAACUCCAUACACAGAUGCUGAGAUUAAGACUGCAUUUAGAGAGAAAGCAAAGGAGUACCACCCUGAUCAAAAUCAGGGUGAUAAAGGUACCAUCAAAUAUAAUUGAUUCUGUUCAAGUGAGAAAUUUUGGUAAAAUGGUGGCUGAUAUCUUCGU